rnacentral:rRNA from 1 species
GGAUUAGAUACCCUGGUAGUCCACGCUGUAAACGAUGGAUACUAGGUGUGGCGGGUAUUGACCCCUGCCGUGCCGCAGUUAACACAAUAAGUAUCCCACCUGGGGAGUACGACCGCAAGGUUGAAACUCAAAGGAAUUGACGGGGGCCCGCACAAGCAGUGGAGUAUGUGGUUUAAUUCGAAGCAACGCGAAGAACCUUACCAGGUCUUGACAUCCUAGGAAUCCUGUAGAGAUACGGGAGUGCCCUUCGGGGAAUCUAGAGACAGGUGGUGCAUGGUUGUCGUCAGCUCGUGCCG